UCAAAAGCCCUUGCUGGGAAAGGAAGCCUUUCCGAAGCCAGGAUGCCAAUCAUAGCAGGAACUCCUCUCUCCAAUGCAAACUGGACCUGGGCUUCAUGUGUAUCCCUUGGUGCAAAAGACAUAGUCAAAAUGUCCCGUUUCAACAGGUAGGCACCCCAACUUGCGACCUUGACACCCACAGAAAAUUCAGAAACAGCGUAUGCUAAUGUUGAGAAGUUACUAAAUUCUUAAACCAUCAUGGUAAUUUUUAUAAAUAUCAGGGAGGAACACUCACACCACAGCCUGUGUCAAUUGCAGUUCUGAUGGUUCCACCAGUAAGAGGAAUAAGCUCAUUUAUAUCAUCUAUGUAUGCAUCAGCUCCAAGAGGGAACGAGGUGCCUCCACCAGGGAAUCUGAAGCGAUUACCCUCUAAUUGAAUCCAAUUCUGCACGGC
rnacentral:lncRNA from 1 species